AGGGAAUCUUCCACAAUGGACGCAAGUCUGAUGGAGCAACGCCGCGUGAGUGAAGAAGGUUUUCGGAUCGUAAAGCUCUGUUGUUGGUGAAGAAGGAUAGAGGCAGUAACUGGUCUUUAUUUGACGGUAAUCAACCAGAAAGUCACGGCUAACUACGUGCCAGCAGCCGCGGUAAUACGUAGGUGGCAAGCGUUGUCCGGAUUUAUUGGGCGUAAAGCGAGCGCAGGCGGAAUGAUAAGUCUGAUGUGAAAGCCCACGGCUCAACCGUGGAACUGCAUCGGAAACUGUCAUUCUUGAGUGCAGAAGAGGAGAGUGGAACUCCAUGUGUAGCGGUGGAAUGCGUAGAUAUAUGGAAGAACACCAGUGGCGAAGGCGGCUCUCUGGUCUGCAACUGACGCUGAGGCUCGAAAGCAUGGGUAGCGAACAGGAUUAGAUACCCUGGUAGUCCAUGCCGUAAACGAUGAGCGCUAGGUGUUGGGGACUUUCCGGUCCUCAGUGCCGCAGCAAACGCAUUAAGCGCUCCGCCUGGGGAGUACGACCGCAAGGUUGAAACG
rnacentral:rRNA from 1 species